rnacentral:rRNA from 2 species
GAUGAACGCUGGCGGCGUGCCUAACACAUGCAAGUCGAGCGUGAACCCUGCGAAUGAAACUUCGGUCGAUUUUGCAGGGGGAAAGCGGCGGACGGGUGAGUAACGCGUAGGUAACCUGCCCCAUACUGAGGGAUAGCCUCGGGAAACCGGGAUUAAUACCUCAUAACACCGUAUAUUCGCAUGGAUGUGCGGUCAAAGAUUUAUCGGUAUGGGAUGGGCCUGCGUCUGAUUAGCUGGUUGGUGGGGUAACGGCCUACCAAGGCGACGAUCAGUAGCCGACCUGAGAGGGUGAUCGGCCACAUUGGAACUGAGACACGGUCCAAACUCCUACGGGAGGCAGCAGUGGGGAAUAUUGCACAAUGGGCGAAAGCCUGAUGCAGCAACGCCGCGUGAGCGAAGAAGGCCUUUGGGUCGUAAAGCUCUGUCGGGUAGGAAGAUAAUGACGGUACUACCCGAGGAAGCCCCGGCUAACUACGUG